GUGGGGAAUAUUGGACAAUGGGCGCAAGCCUGAUCCAGCCAUGCCGCGUGAGUGAUGAAGGCCUUCGGGUUGUAAAGCUCUUUAGUCCACGAAUAUAAUGACUGUAGUGGAAGAAUAAGCCCCGGCUAACUUCGUGCCAGCAGCCGCGGUAAUACGAAGGGGGCGAGCGUUAUUCGGAAUCACUGGGCGUAAAGCGUGCGUAGGCUGUCUUGUAAGUCAGAAGUGAAAGCCCAGGGCUUAACCCUGGAAUUGCUUUUGAAACUACAAGACUCGAAUUCGGGAGAGGAUAGCGGAAUUGUCAGUGUAGCAGUGAAAUGCGUAGAUAUUGACAGGAACACCAGUGGCGCAAGCGGCUAUCUGGACCGAUAUUGACGCUGAGGCACGAAAGCGUGGGGAGCAAACAGGAUUAGAUACCCUAGUAGUCC
rnacentral:rRNA from 1 species